rnacentral:lncRNA from 1 species
AUCUUCCCUCACUUAAAAAAUCGAUUCAAGUUGCCGCCAACUAUAAUCGAAAACAAAGUCAAUAAAAUUUGACCCAAAAAAAAAAAAAAGAACUGUCCGACUACAGUAGUCGGGAAAAAAUAAAAUAAGUGGAAAAUUAGGUUUUAUUUCGCUCAUCUCCUCUGCUUUCCAGUCUCCUCUCUCCCGGCUAACUGCUCUCAAACAUUCCACCAUUCCACCACUAUGCUGCCACCUUCACUCCUCUUGGGUAAGUUGAAGUAGUCGGGAAAAAAUAAAAUAAGUGGAAAAUUAGGUUUUAUUUCGCUCAUCUCCUCUGCUUUCCAGUCUCCUCUCUCCCGGCUAACUGCUCUCAAACAUUCCACCAUUCCACCACUAUGCUGCCACCUUCACUCCUCUUGGGUAAGUUGAUUAAGAACCAAAUUUCUUUUUCUUCUUUGCCAAUAUGUCAUCCCCUACUCAUUCUUUCACCCAAAGCUUCUUAUCCUUUCCAUAUUCCUACACUUGCUGCUAGGUAUAUAUUCACAUCUCCCCACAACCUUAGCUUUUACAAUUCCUCCAAUUUUUAUUUGCGUUUGUGAUUUUUUUGAGCUGCUUAUUUUCUUUGAUACUUAAGUUUUCGAUCUAAUUGGUUUCUAGGGUUCAAAAUUUGAACAAUGAUGCAUGAAAUUGUAAUUCGUCUUGUUAUUUAUGAGAACGAAGAGCUUAAAUUAAAUGCUAUUUUCUUUUGUUAUAUACCAUUAUUUCAUAGAUACCAUGCCAAUAGGAUUCAAUUUGAGAUUAAAAUAUGACCAUUCCAUUAUGUUUGAUAGUUUCAUGUCACUUUUCUUGUUAGUAUGAUCUUAGGUUAAAUGAUAAGUAGAAUAUUGGAGUAGUAGAGCUUCCCAAGUAUAUUGCACUUUCUUUUCCCUCUUUGGUUUUGGUUAUUCACUUUAAUUUAACGAAAAUUGUUAUUCUCCUUGCUUAUGAAAUUGUACUUCCAAUGGUUUUAACUUUGCUGGGAAUAUUACUUUUUGAGCUUAAUUUGCAUACACGGACAAUACAAAACAAGACACAUUAGGUGUUACAAUAAUGGGGAAUAAGAGAAGUAAAACUAUUAAAAGAAAAUGAGUGUUAUGGUCCCAUUUCAGAAAUAUUUAGGAGUGAAAGUUGACCGAGACUUUAGGUGAACUUAAGCUUUGCGAUGGAGAAGAAUUUCUUGAUGUCAAUGAAACAAGUGAUGAGGAAGAAUCUAAUAAUGAAUAUGAAUCAAGUGAAGAUAAUUGACUUUUUGGGUUUUUAUUAUCUCUUUAAAUCUUUUAUUUUUCCUUAGUUAUCUAAUAUAUUGAAGAAUUGCUUUAUGUGUUUGUUAUUUAGUUAGGUUUUAUGUUAUUCCUUAAUCAUUUAAUUUGUUGAAAAUUACUUUAUGUGUUUAUUAUUUCUUUAAUUUUUAUGUUUUUCUUUAAUAGUCUAAUUUGUUGAGGAAUUACUUUAUGUUUCUAUUAUUCUUUAGGAUUUUAUGUUUUUUUCUUAAUCUUCUAAUAUGUUGAAGAUUUUAUCUUUUUAUGUUUUUAUAUUUUUUCCUAAUCAUCUAAUUCUUUAUGUUUUUUUAUUAUUUCUUAUAUAUUUAAUAUGUUGAAGAUUUGCUUUAUGUUUUUUUACUAUGGUUAUAUUACGUGGAUGGCAUCUGGGGGUAGCGACCGCCGAUGCCGUAAGCUCCUCCAUAUAUGGGGCAUCCUACUACUUUUCCUCCUCAGUCAACUUCGUUGCCACCUGCAUUUUUUAUGCCCCCACCUAGGCAUGUCCACAUUUCUGUAUUUUCAGUUCGCCCGAACUCUGGCUCUAACCUUAAUUUUAUUCUCAUACCAAAUGUAACUUCUUCUCCCAGUUUUCAUAUUAGUCAACAAGGUAGCUCCUCAACACUGCCUACUUCAUGGACUCCAGCGACUCCAGGUGCAUCUCUGGCAUCAAACACACAUAGCGUAUCUAGGUUAAAUAUUAGAGUGUUUGGUACAUCAACAGCACCAUCCAUUGGUAGUUGCUAAACCAGCAACUUCUCGGGAUCGACGUGGUAAAGUGACUCUACAGUAGUAGUGAUUUAAGGAUGACUAUUGUUCUUGGAUGUUUAAAUUUUAUAUUUAAACUUUAUGGUAGAUUUGAAUGAUGUGGUAUAUAUAUAUAUAUAUGUAUGUAUGUAUUUAGACUUUAUUAUAUUAGUGUCGAUAUGUAUUAGCUACUCAGACUUAUAUUGUAUAUUUAGACGUUAAAUAAUAUUUUGGUUUGAUAUUAUGGGAUUUGAAUAUGUAUUUGUUGAUGUUGGAAAUGGUUGGUUUGAUUAUUAGAUUGUUUAUUUGGAAUUGGUUGUGUAGUUGAAAUUGAUUGGUUGAGUUGGAAUUGGCUUGUUUAUAAUAUUUGCAUUCGAAAAGUGAUGUAUUGUUAAU